CUACGGGCGGCUGCAGUCGAGGAUUUUUUGCAAUGCACGAAAGUGUGACAAAGCGAGCCAGAGUGUUUUUCGUAUAGAAAAACUUUUGUUAGCUGUAAAAAGGCUGACGAAUAAGGACUGGGCAAGACCGGUGCCAGCCGCCGCGGCAAUCCCGGCGGUCCAAGUCGUAGCCACAAUUAUUGGGUCUAAAACAUCCGUAGCUUGUUUUGUAAGUCUCUUGUGAAAUUUUGUCUCUUAAGGACAGAGCGAGCAAGAGAUACUGCAAAGCUAGAGACUGGAGGAUGUAAGGAGUACAGUUAAGGUAGUGGUAAAAUACGUUGAUCUUAACUGGACUAACAACAGCGAAGGCACCUUACAAUUACAGUUCUGACAGUGAGGGAUGAAGGCUAGGGGCGCAAAACGGAUUAGAUACCCCCGUAGUC
rnacentral:rRNA from 1 species